rnacentral:rRNA from 1 species
UGGGGAAUAUUGGACAAUGGGCGAAAGCCUGAUCUAGCCAUGCCGCGUGUGUGAAGAAGGUCUUCGGAUUGUAAAGCACUUUAAGUUGGGAGGACGGGCAUUAACCUAAUACGUUAGUGUUUUGACGUUACCGACAGAAUAAGCACCGGCUAACUCUGUGCCAGCAGCCGCGGUAAUACAGAGGGUGCAAGCGUUAAUCGGAAUUACUGGGCGUAAAGCGCGCGUAGGUGGUUUGUUAAGUUGGAUGUGAAAUCCCCGGGCUCAACCUGGGAACUGCAUUCAAAACUGACUGACUAGAGUAUGGUAGAGGGUGGUGGAAUUUCCUGUGUAGCAGUGAAAUGCGUAGAUAUAGGAAGGAACACCAGUGGCGAAGGCGACCACCUGGACUAAUACUGACACUGAGGUGCGAAAGCGUGGGGAGCAAACA